rnacentral:rRNA from 1 species
AACCGAGAACUCCUACGGGAGGCAGCAGUGGGGAAUAUUGGACAAUGGGCGCAAGCCUGAUGCAGCGACGCCGCGUGAGGGAUGACGGCCUUCGGGUUGUAAACCUCUUUCAGUAGGGAAGAAGCGAAAGUGACGGUACCUGCAGAAGAAGCACCGGCUAACUACGUGCCAGCAGCCGCGGUAAUACGUAGGGUGCGAGCGUUAUCCGGAAUUAUUGGGCGUAAAGAGCUCGUAGGCGGUUUGUCGCGUCUGUCGUGAAAGUCCGGGGCUUAACCCCGGAUCUGCGGUGGGUACGGGCAGACUAGAGUGCAGGAGGGGAGACUGGAAUUCCUGGUGUAGCGGUGGAAUGCGCAGAUAUCAGGAGGAACACCGAUGGCGAAGGCAGGUCGCUGGGCUGUAACUGACGCUGAGGAGCGAAAGCAUGGGGAGCGAACAGGAUUAGAAACCCCGGUAGUCCGACUGAGA